AGAACAGAGAAGGGCCAUUUCUGCUUUGUCUUCCCCGUCUAAGGGGGAGAGUCGCCCUAUAAGCACACAAGCACAGACCAAACACUCUGACUGAUUUUUUUUUUUGUGUGUGUGUGCGCAUGUCCGCGGAGACGUUUCGCGAGCGUACGUUGGCGACGCAGUACCAGCCACGCCAGCAUCUCCCGCCCAACUUCAGCGAUGUGCUGAAGGAGUACGCGCGGGAAGUGCUGCGCAAUCAGCCGUCGGAUAUUCUGGAAUGGAGCGCGGCGUAUUUCAAGAAGCUGGCCCUCGAGACGGACCCGCUGCAGGCAAAGCAGCCGCCGCCGGACCAUUACACCCCCCUCGUCGAGGACCCUGAGCGAGCGAUACUGGCGAACAAGAUGGUGAAAGUGUUCUCGACGAUGGACGUAUCAGAAAGUGGGCGGCUACCCGUUUCAGAGGUACGGCGAGCGCUGACGGAGGCAUUUGAGCUGACGGAGUCUCAGGCGCUCUACCUUCUUACAGCGCCAUUCACGACGAUCAUCGAGGACGACGGUAGCCGCAUGACAGGUGAUGCCAUCGAGUACAGCCCCUUCUCCCACGCAGCGGUGCGCACUAUUCAGUAUUUUCAGCAGCACCACGACUUCUCCUUCGACGUGGACAGCAGCGACACCUGCGCAACUGUGCACGGCAUGAACCGCUACGACAUCGAGCAAGGCUUUCUGCGCAUCUUUCGCCUCCUCGACGAGGCGGGGACGGGCCGCCUGCUUCUCCAAGACUACCAGGGCGCCUUGGAGAACGCACCGUACCACCUGACGCACCGCGACAUUUGCGUGCUGCGCCUCGAAUGUGACACGUGCGGCGGCGAAGGGGACACGGGGCCGCGUGAGGUGGAGUACGAGAAGGAGCUGCCGCACAUGUUCGAGCGCCUUCUGCUUGCCGAGGCUUUCAAUCUCUUCGAGGAGGAGGGGCAGAGCUAGGGCAGCGCAAGAGGACUCUCGGUGCAUCGCAUUCGCCAUGUGCUACCUCUCGCUCCUUCCACGGGCACUCGACACCUUUUUUUUUCCGUCCCGUGCACUCUCUCCCGCACACCACACGCUCACACACAACCAUGUGCACGAAAAAGGUGUUGAGGAAGCGCUAGCUGCUCCCAUGUAAAAAUAUCGACAGCAGCGUGCCACAUCAGCAAGGGAAGUGGGGUCCAGGAGAGACGGAUCGAUGCCGACCUGAAACGAAAAUGCUACUAACCUAGUCCUGUGCACAGACACACAAAAACACACAUACGCACAGCUACAUCUAGAGCCCAGUUCUCUCUUUACUAGUUGAUGCCGAGCACGCCUUUGUCUGUUCUCUUCUCCUCCUUUUUCCUUUUUCCUCUUUCCUUCUUCCCGUCUUGUUGCUUCCGCCAGUCAGACAGAUGGGCGCUGUCUCUGACCCCUUCCAACCUUUGUACGUUGUACAUAUGCUCCGCACGUUGCGCAUGGAUGCUGUGUUGUUGCAGCCAGCGCAGCCAACAGCG
rnacentral:misc_RNA from 1 species